rnacentral:rRNA from 1 species
CGGCGACGCCGAGCGGAACCCGAAAACCUAGUCUCAGUUCGGAUCGGAGUCUGCAACCCGACUCCGUGAAGCUGGAUUCGCUAGUAAUCGCGCAUCAGCCAUGGCGCGGUGAAUAUGUCCCCGGGCCUUGUACACACCGCCCGUCAAGCCAUGGAAGCCGGGGGUGCCUGAAGUGUGCAGCCGCAAGGAGCGCCCUAAGGUAAAACCGGUGACUGGGGCUAAGUCGUAACAAGGUAAC